UACGAAGGGGCUAGCGUUGUUCGGAAUUAUUGGGCGUAAAGGGAGCGUAGGCGGUUCGGCAAGUCGGGGGUGAAAUCCUAGAGCUCAAUCCAGAACUGCCUUCGAUACUGGCGAUCUUGAGUCCGGCAGGGGAGACUGGAAUUCCGUGGUGAUAGCGGUGGAAUGCGCAGAUAUCAGGAGGAACACCGGUGGCGAAGGCGGGUCUC
rnacentral:rRNA from 1 species